UACAGAGGCCUCGAGCGUUAGGCGGAAUCACUGGGCUUAAAGCGUGUGUAGGCGGACUUCUAAGUACCUUGUGAAAUCCCACGGCUCACCCGUGGAACUGCUCGGUAUACUGGGUCGCUUGAGCCACUUAGGGGCUACCGGAACAAAUGGUGGAGCGGUGAAAUGCGUAGAUAUCAUUUGGAACGCCAAUGGUGAAAACAGGUAGCUGGGAGUGUGCUGACGCUGAGACACGAAAGCCAGGGGAGCAAACGGG
rnacentral:rRNA from 1 species